CAUGAACAUGGAUGGGGUCACUGGGGAGAGUGUUGGAAGGAGAAGAGCAGGCAGUAGGCAGUGAAAGAACACUAGGGAUGCCAACGUAUAACACGUGGGCAGAGGAGCCCCCAAACGGUGACAGAGGAAGCCCAAUUCAGUAAAUGAAUGAAAACGAGGAAAGAAACGUGUUGUGACGGGCUAGGGCGUCAAAAGAUGCCAAGAAAGAUUCCUUUAGCGAAACCUUCUUUAAAAGGUCCCCCCACCCAAAAUCUUAUUUAGAUGCAAGCUGUCCUCCACGAGGACUGAGGUAUGCUGUCACACAAAGGUUUUUCUGACUCGUAAGGCUUUCCUCAAGUCAAGGGGAAAAAAGUGAGGACCAGUGGAAAUCUAAAGACAGGGCGGUGGAGUAGGAGAGACAGGGAGGAGGAGGGGAGGUAACAGACAUGCUCUACCUCUAGCUUCCCACUGUAAUUCUGUGAGGCAACAGAUUGACCAUUGUGCUAGUGUUCCGAGCUCAGUGGACCCUGUUUGCCACGUUCCAGGAGCCUGCUGUGUCAACCAGAAAGCCAAGGGUUCAGUUGUCAGAGUCCUUUCAGAUGAAAAAGCAAUUCCUUCAGUUAUGAACUUUGACCAGUUUUGGCACAAGACGCACAAACAAACUUGACAGAAAAGCACAUUCCAUGCUGCUUGAAGUGGGAGGAAAGAGGACUUACCCAUUAUUCAGCCUUUGCCUUCCUCCGGCUCCAGCCAAGACAUUGGCUAUCUGUGACACCUUAUGUCAGCUGGAAACAUCCUUACAGAUCAUGAAUUCCUACCUUCAAACUUUACAGGUGUUAACACCCAAGUCCAGACAAGGUAUGUUUAUCGUGCUAGAACAACUCGGACCGCGAAGGAACACAGCCAAAGCACGAGCAGCCUCUGCACCUCCAGGGAACGUGUUAGAAAUGCAGAUUCUCAGGCCCCAGCCCAGACCUACUGAAUCAGAAGCUCUGAGAGUGGAGUCCAGCAAUCUGUGUUUCAACAAGCGCAUGGUGGCUCCGAUGCCUGAUAAAGUUUGAGAACCACCCGCACCAAAGAAUAAAGGACUAACAACCUGAAAAUAAACAAACCAAAGAAGACAAAUGUACAAGUUCAAAAAAGAAAAAUCAAAAAACCAAACAGAGUGUUGGAGAAUCCCACAAAUCUCAGUCAGCCAGACUCAGACUGUGCUGGUUCCUCACAUGACGGCAGAAAAUGGGACAAGAACUCAGAACGUGUGUUGCCUGUGGCUGGAACCAUCAUCUCAUUGUCAACUUUCAUCUGCAGUUAGGGCUGCUAAGUGAAAGACGAAAAACAAUUACAGGGGAGUAGAAGCAAGCGAAGAAGCCAGCUAUUGACAACACUCUCCCCUGGACCAAACUCUCGGCCUCGACCUUGGUGUCUGUCCUUGUUAGGCCUGAAUCACGCAGCUGUAGCAAGAAUCCUGUUGAGUUGGCUAAGUUACAAUCCCCCACCCUGGCUAUCUGAUCAAAUGUCCUUGUGCCGCCAUCUCCCAGGUAAUAUUGGGUCACCUUGGCUGCCUUCAGCAAGAAUCCCGUCAGGUCAGUUGGGCCAGAAUCCCCUCUCACCCACCUUCCCCUACAAAGAUUGCUUUGUUCUUUGUCUCUCAUACAUCUGCCCACAUAGGAGAAGAGGCUUUUUACUCAUCGUUGCUUCAGAAAGGGGCAGAGGUAGACUAUCUUCCUUCUUAAAGCUGCAAAACAAUAAAGCUGACUCAAAGAUAACCUUAUCUUCAACCAUAGCCCAUCUUAAUUGGAAAAAAGUUUUUUGUUUUUGUUUUUGCUUGAAUGAUUCUAUUUCAAUGGAGGGCGGAGUGUGGGCAAAGUGGGCCAUGGUGAAUAUAAACCGAUUUCAGUUUUUGGCUUGGCAUGAGAUACUGAGAAUCGGAAGAACAAAUAGAUACAUAUCCCAAACGUCAUGCAUGUAUUGCCAGCGGGCACGGCAGCUGACUGCUUUAUCCUCUGGUAAUUAUUUGAAAGCACGGUUUGGUUAACAAUCACUACAGAUUCUAAGAAAUUACUUCUGGGAAUUCCGUACACAGAUAUUGAGAAAUAUGCUAAAAAUGCUUCGGCCCUUGAGAGGAAGGAACAGUAGGAAUGAAGGAAAAUCUUUUAGUUGAACAAAUAAAAUUUCCUAUCCUUAUUUUCAUCUUCAUUAUGGUAGGAGAACGGGCAGUGUGCGAGACUGAAUCAUUAUGUAUCUAAAAACUUCCUUCUAACCAUUAAGGAAAAGUUCCACGUAUCGUUCUAUCUUGUUGUUAGAGUCAGGCUCAAUUCCUAUUGACCCAUGAGUUGAGAGGUACAUCUAUUUAUUUUUUCUUUCAAAUAAUUCCUACUGUAUUUGAAAAAGGAUUAUCUAGCUGUAGGAGAUGAUGUCAGUUACAAGCACCCCAGAUCUGACACAAUCCAGCUUAAAUAAGACGGAAACUUACGAUCUCCUAUAAAAAGAAGUCUUGAGUUAAGAUGGCCUUCAGAGACAGUUGAUUCAAUGUCACUGAGAACCCUUAUCUGCUUUCCCUGGUUUAGGCCUCAUCCUCAGCAAGUAAGAAAACUGUAAUAGUCCCAGGCAUGACAUCCUAAUCUGACAAUGUCCACAGAGACACAUACUGUCUCUUGUGGAUCUCUCUUAGGAGGAAGAACAUUUUCUUUUUCCAGGAGCCUUCAGGAAACUUUCUCUGACAUGUCAUUGGCUAUAGUUGGCCCAUAUGCUCAUGACAAAUGAUACAGAAUUAUCCUUUGGGCUUGGAUAGAUCAUCUUUUAGAGAAAGGUCUUUGGGGGACUAUUACAAGUCUCAUUUCCGAAAUGGGAUUCUUUUCAUCUCUGUAUCAUAUUAGCUUUGACGACCAAAACAAUUCUACCAAGAAAAGGGAUGGGAUCUUAGUAGUCAAAAAGUAUUGGUAGAGGGAAUUUCCCGCAUAGUCAUAUGGGAAAGUAUAAAAGAAAGAAAGGAGAAUUGGAGAGAGAUAGAAACACUAGUGGUUGCAGACCAUGAAAAGGAAAAGUGAAGUGUAAAAUGAAACACUGAUCAUGAAAUCCAGUGAGAUGGUCCUUGUCAGAAUUCACUGAGAACAAUUGGUGUGCAUUUUUCCUGCUGUUCAGAUUAAAGAAGUUACAAGUCAGACAAUGAUUCUGAAUCAAAAUGAGUUUAAGAGUAUGUAUAUCUGCCUGGAAAAACAGGGAAGCCAAACAAAUAAUGUGUAUUACACAUAUAUUCCUAAACACAAUCAGUGAUGCUCUCAUUCUGUGAUUAAAUGACCCACUUUAAGACAGUUCCUUCUCCAUACUCGGUGUAGCUGCUACAAAGGAACAUCUUCCUCCAGUCAUCAACUGAUAGAUUUUUAUUC